rnacentral:lncRNA from 1 species
UAGUGAAACCUGAUCCAGUUGUUGACCUUUCAAGUCAGGUGUUAAAUAGCACUUGCAUUCAAAUAGUGUGGAGUAAUACAGUUAAUAUAUACAGAAAAGAACACAGAGUAAUUGUAUCCAGUAAAUGGAGAGAUAACCGAGAAUUACGUAUUAAUAGUACAGCUGAUACAGAAAAUCUUUCACAAAGAAGAACGUUUUGCAACCUACAUCCACAUACGUACUACACUUUUACCGUAAGCACACAGCCUACUGGCCAACAAGCAGGGUUUUUCAGCGAUCCGAAGGCUAUAGUUGCUCUGACAUAUUCGGACAAGCCAAGUACCAGUCCGAAGGUUACAAAAGGUGGCUAUCAUUGGCAUCGCAUGGAAUGCGAAGGAAAUAGCAAUAUAAGGCGUGUUUGCAUAUUUUGGAAGCCUCUCAAGGAGGAGGAUAAAAAUGGUGACAUCAAAGGCCUGCAUGUAACAUUUACUGCGGUUCAAAGAAACGGACCAACUUUCCAAGAGGACUGGCCUGGAGAUUUGACAUAUGGUUGUGUUAAUGGCUUGCUUUGUAACACGGCGUAUACCUUUCACUAUAAAGGCAGAAAACAUCAAUGGUACAUCUGAACAAGGAUCCACAUUGUAUAUAUCAUCCUGCAAAC